rnacentral:misc_RNA from 1 species
CACGUAGGAGGCAAACGUUAUCCGGAUUUACGGGGCGUAAAGCGCGUGCAGGUGGCUUGAUAAGUUGGAUGUGAAAGCUCCCGGCUCAACUGGGAGACGUCGUUCAAAACUAUCAGGCUAGAGGACAGUAGAGGAGAGUGGAAUUCCCGGUGUGGUGGUGAAAUGCGUAGAUAUCGGGAGGAACACCAGUGGCGAGGGCGGCUCUCUGGACUGUUUCUGACACUCAGACGCGAAAGCGUGGGUAGCGAACGAG